UCCUACGGGAGGCAGCAGUGGGGAAUAUUGCACAAUGGGCGCAAGCCUGAUGCAGCCAUGCCGCGUGUGUGAAGAAGGCCUUCGGGUUGUAAAGCACUUUCAGUCAGGAGGAAAGGUUAGUAGUUAAUACCUGCUAGCUGUGACGUUACUGACAGAAGAAGCACCGGCUAACUCCGUGCCAGCAGCCGCGGUAAUACGGAGGGUGCGAGCGUUAAUCGGAAUUACUGGGCGUAAAGCGUACGCAGGCGGUUUGUUAAGCGAGAUGUGAAAGCCCCGGGCUCAACCUGGGAACUGCAUUUCGAACUGGCAAACUAGAGUGUGAUAGAGGGUGGUAGAAUUUCAGGUGUAGCGGUGAAAUGCGUAGAGAUCUGAAGGAAUACCGAUGGCGAAGGCAGCCACCUGGGUCAACACUGACGCUCAUGUACGAAAGCGUGGGGAGCAAACAGGAUUAGAUACCCUGGUAGUCCACGCCGUAAACGAUGUGUACUAGAAGCUCGGAACCUCGGU
rnacentral:rRNA from 1 species